rnacentral:rRNA from 1 species
UUGAACGCUGGCGGCAGGCCUAACACAUGCAAGUCGAGUGGCAGCGCGGGGCAACCUGGCGGCGAGCGGCGGACGGGUGAGUAACGCGUAGGAAUCUACCCAGUAGCGGGGGAUAGCCCGGGGAAACUCGGAUUAAUACCGCAUACGCCCUACGGGGGAAAGCAGGGGAUCGUAAGACCUUGCACUAUUGGAAGAGCCGGCGUUGGAUUAGCUAGUUGGUAGGGUAAAGGCCUACCAAGGCGACGAUCCAUAACUGGUCUGAGAGGAUGAUCAGUCACACCGGAACUGAGACACGGUCCGGACUCCUACGGGAGGCAGCAGUGGGGAAUAUUGGACAAUGGGGGCAACCCUGAUCCAGCCAUGCCGCGUGUGUGAAGAAGGCCUUCGGGUUGUAAAGCACUUUAAGUGGGGAGAAAGGUUCGGCAGCUAAUACCUGCCGGAAGUGAUGUUACCCACAGAAUAAGCACCGGCUAACUCUGUGCCAGCCGCCGCAGUAA